AUUGAACGCUGGCGGCAGGCCUAACACAUGCAAGUCGAACGCGUGGCGGACGGGUGAGUAAUGUCUGGGAAACUGCCCGAUGGCGGGGGAUAACUACUGGAAACGGUAGCUACUACCGCAUACUAUCGGAUGUGCCCAGAUGGGAUGAGCUAGUAGGUGGGGUAAAGGCUCACCUAGUCGACGAUCCCUAGCUGGUCUGAGAGGAUGACACGCCACACUGGAAUGGAGACACGGUCCAGACUCCAACGGGAGGCACAAGAGGGGAAUAUUGCACAAGGGGCGCAAGCCUGAUGCAGCAAUGCUGGGUGUAUGAAGAAGUCCUUCGGGUUGUAAAGUACUGUCAGCGAGGAGUCGUUACUCGCAGAAGAAGGACCGGCUAACUCCGUGCCAGCAGCCGCGGUAAUAC
rnacentral:rRNA from 1 species